rnacentral:lncRNA from 1 species
UCUCUUUGGGUGUGUGCAAAACCUAGAAUUCUAGGGUUUGAUCCUAAGAUUUUGGGAAGAAAAAAAAGUAAGAGAGAAAAUAUUUUUUUUUAUCUUUCUUCUACCUCUUCAUCUUCUCCAAAAAUCCAUCUUCAGCCUCUGAAAAAAUUUCAUAGAUUUGAAGAAGAGAUCCAGAUCAGUCAAGAAGAAGGUCUUCGCGCGAGCAAGCACUUCUGAGAAGACCGAUC